ACAAAGGGUGCCUUCAACUAUAUGGGCAAGAGCCCUCUCACCAAUGAAUAAGAAUCUCUUCCUCUUGAAUUAUAUGUCCUUUCUCCACCUUAGGUCGAAAUCUCUCGCCACUGCAAUGGGUAAGUAUCUCUCAUUGAUGGGCAGAGCCAAAUCCUCAACAAUUAGCAAAAUCCGAGUGACAACUCCUCUUCAUGGGUAAAGCCACUUUCUAUGGGCUUGGCCACUUCCUAUGGGUGAAGCCAGUAUUCUCCUAUUUAUAGUGUUAGUUCUCUUAAUCCCCCAACUCAAUUUAGGAAUAACACUAA
rnacentral:misc_RNA from 1 species